UACGAAGGGGGCUAGCGUUGCUCGGAAUUACUGGGCGUAAAGGGCGCGUAGGCGGCUUAACAAGUCACUUGUGAAAUCUCCGGGCUUAACUCGGAACGGCCAAGUGAAACUGUCAAGCUAGAGUGCAGAAGGGGCAAUCGGAAUUCUUGGUGUAGCGGUGAAAUGCGUAGAUAUCAAGAGGAACACCUGAGGUGAAGACGGGUUGCUGGGCUGACACUGACGCUGAGGCGCGAAAGCCAGGGGAGCAAACGGG
rnacentral:rRNA from 1 species